GACUUACUAUUGUUUUUUACCAAUCCUACACAUGCAAGCCUCCACAACCCCGUGCCCAACCCCACCAAUCUACUCAACCUAGACCAGGAGACGGCAUCAGGCACACACAUGUUUUUGCCCACAACGCCUAGCUUCGCCACACCCCCACGGGUCUCAGCAGUGACAGACAUUAAGCAAUGGGCCCAGACAUAAGCCCGACUUAGCUAUGGUUCAACACAGGGUCGGUAAACUUCGUGCCAGCCACCGCGGUUAUACGAAGGACCCAAAACAACACCAACGGCAUAAAAUGUGACUAGAACCUCCCCCCAAAGAAAUUCUUAACCACAAUACAGCUGUAAAAUGCACAUAUUUACUGGAAGACCUCCGAUUUUCUACAAAGCUUUGACCUCACGAAAGCUGAGCCAUAAACUAGGAUUAGAUACCCUACUAUACUCAGUUGUAAACCCAGAGGAUUUAACUAUACCACCCUCUGCCCGAGAAUUACAAGUGAAAAACUUGAAACUCUAAGGACUUGACGGUGCCCCACACCAACCUAGAGGAGCCUGUCCUAUAAUCGAUACCCCACGUUAUACCCCACCCCCCCUAGCCUCACAGCCUAUAUACCGCCGUCGCCAGCCCACCUACUGAUAGCACCAAUAGUCGGCACAACAGCACCCCACGCAAGCACGUCAGGUCAAGGUGUAGCUUAUGGGGGGGGCUGAGAUGGGCUACAUUUGCUGUCCAACAGCAAAUAACCAAGGCCACAUGAAACCGUCAGCCAACAGGCGGAUUUAGCAGUAAACAGGGCAAGGCCUGCCCGCUUGAACCCCGCUCUGGGGCGCGUACACACCGCCCGUCACCCUCCUCAACACACCCCACUAAUC
rnacentral:ncRNA from 1 species